rnacentral:rRNA from 1 species
AUUGAACGCUGGCGGCAGGCCUAACACAUGCAAGUCGAGCGGAGCGGCGGACGGGUGAGUAAUGCCUAGGAAUCUGCCUGGUAGUGGGGGAUAACGUCCGGUACCGGGCGCUAUUACCGCAUCCCAUCAGCUGAGCCUAGGUCGGAUUAGCGAGUUGGUGGGGUAAAGGCCUACCAAGGCGACGACCCGUCGCUGGUCUGAGAGGAUGAUCAGCCACACUGGAACUGAGACACGGUCCAGACUCCUACGGGAGGCAGCAGGGGGGAAGAUUGGACAAUGGGCGAAAGCCUGAUCCAGCCAUGCCGCGUGUGUGAAGAAGGUCUUCGGAUUGUAAAGCACUGUAAGUUGGGAGGCGUUACCAACAGAAGAAGCACCGGCUAACUUCGUGCCAGCAGCCGCGGUAAUUC